UCGGAUCCGUUUAUUCCAAAUGUCCCAGCCCACGCCGUGCCCAGAGUGUGGCGACACGAGGCCAAACUGCCCACCUACUGAAAAUCUGUCUGUGUGCCGAGCACGCGCUCCCCAUCCCUCUACCAAAUGCCUGGCUGGCGCGUCAUCCCUGGCUUUGAUGGACGGAGUCUUGCUGUGUUGCCCAGGCUGGAGUGCAGUGGCAUGAUCUCUGUUCACUUCAACCUCCGCCUCCUGAGUUCAAGCGAUUCUCCUGCCUCAGCUUCCCAAGCAGCUGGACUACAGCAGGGAUGACGGCGCUCCUGGAGGCUGGCUGGGAAGCUGGUCAGGGUCCCAGGACUCUGACACCCCCAAUGGCCCUUGUAGCCUUGGGGAGUCCUGUGAUCCAAGGCUGGAGGACUGAGUCCCCUCCAGGUCUCAUAGCAGACGAAUAGCAGCUUCACCCAGGCCUGUUUUGUCGUGGCCCCAUUCAGAGGCCGCCCUCCUCUGUGGUUUAGAGCAUGCCCUGGAAUCCCUAGCACAACCAGGGGUUACCUCCUGCUGGCUGACCCCUUCCUGUGCUGCGGGCUGGAAUAUAGGGUUUAACCCUGUUAUAACCCAGAGGAACACAAAAGGAGGAACAUCAGGCUUUAUGGAGAGACUGGAAAUGAAGUGGAGGUUUUCCUUGCUCAUGAAACCUGGCUCACCCUACAG
rnacentral:lncRNA from 10 species